rnacentral:rRNA from 1 species
UACGGAGGGAGCUAGCGUUGUUCGGAAUUACUGGGCGUAAAGCGCGCGUAGGCGGCUUUGUAAGUUAGAGGUGAAAGCCCGGGGCUCAACCCCGGAACUGCCUUUAAAACUGCAUCGCUUGAAUCCGGGAGAGGUGAGUGGAAUUCCGAGUGUAGAGGUGAAAUUCGUAGAUAUUCGGAAGAACACCAGUGGCGAAGGCGACCACCUGGACUGAUACUGACACUGAGGUGCGAAAGCGUGGGGAGCAAACAGG